rnacentral:rRNA from 1 species
AGAGUUUGAUCCUGGCUCAGAACGAACGCUGGCGGCGUGCUUAACACAUGCAAGUCGAACGCGAACGGUUUCUUCGGAAACCUAGUAGAGUGGCGCACGGGUGAGUAACGCGUAAAUAAUCUACCCUGAUGUCUGGGAUAACCAGCCGAAAGGCUGACUAAUACCGGCUAUAUGAUUUUCUGUUGGGAGAAUCAGGAAAGGUGGCCUCUUCUUGAAAGCUAUCGCAUUUGGAUGAGUUUGCGUACCAUUAGCUAGUUGGUGGGGUAAUGGCCCACCAAGGCUACGAUGGUUAGCGGGUCUGAGAGGAUGAUCCGUCACACUGGCACUGGAACACGGGCCAGACUCCUACGGGAGGCAGCAGUGAGGAAUAUUGCGCAAUGGGGGAAACCCUGACGCAGCGACGCCGCGUGAGUGAGGAAGGCCUUCGGGUCGUAAAGCUCUGUCAGUAGGGAAGAAAUGUAUAUAAGUUAAUACCUUAUAUAUUUGACGGUACCUGCAAAGGAAGCACCGGCUAACUCCGUGCCAGCAGCCGCGGUAAUACGGAGGGUGCAAGCGUUGUUCGGAAUCACUGGGCGUAAAGGGAGCGCAGGCGGUUUGUCAAGUCAGAUGUGAAAGCCCACGGCUCAACCGUGGAAGUGCAUUUGAAACUGGCAAACUUGAGUAUCAGAGGGGAAAGUGGAAUUCCCGGUGUAGAGGUGAAAUUCGUAGAUAUCGGGAGGAAUACCGGUGGCGAAGGCGACUUUCUGGCUGAAUACUGACGCUGAGGCUCGAAAGCGUGGGGAGCAAACAGGAUUAGAUACCCUGGUAGUCCACGCCGUAAACGAUGUGCACUAGAUGUAGGAGGUAUUGAUCCCUUCUGUGUCGCAGCUAACGCAUUAAGUGCACCGCCUGGGGAGUACGGUCGCAAGAUUAAAACUCAAAGGAAUUGACGGGGGCCCGCACAAGCGGUGGAGUAUGUGGUUUAAUUCGAAGCAACGCGAAGAACCUUACCAAGACUUGACAUCGCUUGACAAUCAUAGAAAUAUGACUUCCCUUCGGGGCAGGUAGACAGGUGGUGCAUGGUUGUCGUCAGCUCGUGUCGUGAGAUGUUGGGUUAAGUCCCGCAACGAGCGCAACCCUUAUCAUUAGUUGCCAGCACGUAAUGGUGGGAACUCUAAUGAGACUGCCGGGGAUAACUCGGAGGAAGGUGGGGACGACGUCAAAUCAUCAUGCCCCUUAUGUCUUGGGCUACACACGUGCUACAAUGGCCGGUACAGAGGGCUGCGAUACCGCAAGGUGGAGCGAAUCCCAGAAAGCCGGUCCCAGUUCGGAUCGUGGGCUGCAACCCGCCCACGUGAAGCCGGAGUUGCUAGUAAUCGCGAAUCAGCAUGUCGCGGUGAAUGCGUUCCCGGGCCUUGUACACACCGCCCGUCACACCACGGAAGUUAGGAGCGCCCGAAGCCAGUGGGCUAACCGGAUUUAUUCGGAGGCAGCUGUCGAAGGUGAGACCAAUGACUGGGGUGAAGUCGUAACAAGGUAACC